GGAGGAGAUUGGCCAGUAAUGAAUUUCAGGUGCGAAUGGUUAGUAAUGUGACCAGGAAAGUAUAAAAUAGUUGUUGCAUUGACAUGGUAGGAUUGGCAUGUUCCUGAAGUUGUGCUCGAUGUUUAGCCACUUAACCCUGGUUCUCAAUGUGCAGCCUUUUAACUUCCGUGCUCGACGUGCAGCCUUAAUCCUUGUGCUUGACGUGCAGUUUUUAUCCUUUUGUAUAGGCUGAUUUAUUAAGAGGUUUUACACUGUCAGGAAAGUGGGGCAGGCAAACAUUUAUUGCUGCAGUACCUUCAAUGGGCUGAUGGCUGUGUUGGAAUGCUGAAUAACCGUGUGUAGUGGCUUUGUAUAGGGCCGGGGCUGCAUCGGCCCUUAACCUCCCCUGGUGUAGGUGAUUUGGGUGGCGUGGCACUGCUGUGUGGUGGUAGGCGGUGCAUAAGAGCAGGCCCGACCCUCCUUGCCAUUUUGAGGAGAGCUAUUUUCUACAUUUUUAUUGAUGCAUGGUUUUAUUUUGAUUGUUUUUAAUGUUU